ACAACAAGCCUGAGGAACACGUUCUGCAAACCCCGAAAUUCUAUUUCCAGCCUCCAAUACAGACAUUUACAAGCAAUUCUGCCAGUAACCAGCAGUAAUUUUAGUGCAAAGUUUGUUUCCAAGCUCUUGAAAGCACCUACUCUGUGUAAAGCACUGGGAAUAGCAACUACCAUCUUUACCCUGUCUGCAGCAAUUACAUUUUUCCUCCCCUUGAAGCUCAAAAAAUCGAGGCACAGACUGGAUGAAAAGUGGAAUCUUCACCCAGAUGAAGAGAGAAUAACAAAAAUUCCCUCCACAGGCAGGGUUUGG
rnacentral:lncRNA from 1 species